rnacentral:lncRNA from 1 species
UGAAACAAGCUCACUUGACAGACAUUUGGGCACCUGCUGUCUGCCAGUCCUUAGCUGGGCACCAGGACGGGGGAUGGGAAGAAGACACAGGUGCUGCCACAGGAAGCUCACGUCUUCCCAGGUGGGAGGAGGCAAUGAGUAACGAAGGGAGGUAUCUCAGGUGGGCCCUGCCGUGCGACAGAGGGGCCCUGGAGCCACACUCUACACUGUGCUAUGGCUCCCUGUGGGAGGGUGCUGGGGGACUGGGAGGCUCCUCAAGCUGGUCCCUGUGCACAUUGGGUCUCACUGGGGUGUUCAUGACAGGUGUGCCUCUAGGGGUAUCUGGGCACUGAUGGCUCUAGACUCCUGCCUCUCCACCUCUUUUCCCCUUGCCCUCCCCAUUUCUUCUCCAUUCCAGCUCUUCCUGCCUUUCCAAAGACCUGGCUUACUGCCCUGGAGACCCAAGGGCAGACAAGCCCAAGUGUUGCUAUCCUUGGGGUGGUCAGGAAGAGGCCCAAGGAGAAGGCCCUGUGGAAGCCAGAGAUGCUAAUGAAGACUUCAUGGCACACGUCCUGGGAAAGAGCCCCAGAGACCGGUUCCCGAUUCCCAGGGUGUAGAGAGCAGAGUCCCUGAAGGCCUGGGGGUGGAGACUCUGGCAUGAUUCAACCUCCAUUCAACAAAAUAUUUACUGAGUGCCACCAUGUGCUAGACCCACGCAGGCAUCCUGGCUGGGCAUUGAUUUGCCUGUGCAAGAGAUGGAUGAGCUGCCCACUCAUGCCACCCACACCCCAUGUCCCUACCAGUCUGGUCUCAGGGCCGCUGAUCAUCUUGCACUGAGGUGUUGAUGACUGAUACAGCUGCAGGGACAUUUACAUGCUAGCACAGCUGGUGCUGGUGAUGCACAGACCAGAGAGGUGACUCACCAGUGGAGGCGGUUCAGAUGUAUGCCUAGGAGUCAGGGGACACAUUCUGAACAGGGGUAUCUAUUCAUUAUCCAACCAAAAGCAACUAGGCAUCACCUACUCCUGCUAGAGAUCUUGCUAAGCCCUGGGCAAUAAGAAAUCAGGGCAGUGUUCCUGCCUUCAUUGAGUCAAUCAGCAAGCAUUGCUGAGCACCUAAUGCAUACUGGACUCUAAAUGCUACAGAUACCACAGUGAACAAACCCCCACGGUGUGGAUUUUGAAUAAAAUCGAGAAUUUAAAAAGUAUGUAAAUUGGUCUGAGUUGUGGCUCAGUGGUAGAGUAAUUGCCUAGCACAUGUGAGGCAUUGGGUUCAAUUC